rnacentral:rRNA from 1 species
UUGACCUCAAAUCAGGUAGGACUACCCGCUGAACUUAAGCAUAUCAAUAAGCGGAGGAAAAGAAACUAACAAGGAUUCCCCUAGUAACUGCGAGUGAAGCGGGAAAAGCUCAAAUUUA